rnacentral:rRNA from 1 species
CCUACGAGUGGCUGCAGUGGGGAAUAUUGCACAAUGGGGGAAACCCUGAUGCAGCGACGCCGCGUGAGUGAAGAAGUAAUUCGUUAUGUACAGCUCUAUCAGCAGGGAAGAAAAUGACGGUACCUGAGUAAGAAGCCCCGGCUAACUACGUGACAGCAGCAGCGGUAAUACGUAGGGGGCAAGCGUUAUCCGGAUUUACUGGGUGUAAAGGGAGCGUAGACGGCAGUGCAAGUCUGGAGUGAAAGGGGGGGGCUCAACCCCCGGACUGCUCUGGAAACUGUACGGCUGGAGUGCAGGAGAGGUAAGUGGAAGUCGUAGUGUAGCGGUGAAAUGCGUAGAGAUUAGGAGGAACACCAGUGGCGAAGGCGGCUUACUGGACUGUAACUGACGUUGAGGCUCGAAAGCGUGGGGAGCAAACAGGAUUAGAUACCCCUGUAGUC